UUGAACCGUAGGAUCCAGCUGGUUGAAGAGGAGCUGGACCGCACCCAGGAGCGCCUGGCCACUGCCCUGCAAAAGCUGGUGGAAGCGGAGAAAGCUGCAGAUGAGAGCGAGAGAGGUAUGAAGGUUAUUGAGAACUGAGCCUUAAAAGAUGAAGAAAAGAUGGAACUCCAGGAAAUCCAACUCAAAGAGGCCAAGCACAUUGCAGAAGAGGCAGAUCGGAAGUAUGAAGAGGUGGCUCAGAAGUUGGUGAUUAUUGAGGGGGACUUGGAAUGCACAGAGGAACAAACUGAGCUGGCAGAGUCCCGUUGCCGGGAGAUGGAUGAGCAGAUCAGACUGAUGGACCAGAACCUGAAGUGUCUGAGUGCUGCUGAAGAAAAGUACUCUCAAAAGGAAGACAAAUAUGAGGAAGAGAUAAAGAUUCUCACGGAUAAACUCAAGGAGGCAGAGACCCGUGCCAAGUUUGCUGAGAGAUCGGUAGCCAAGCUGGAGAAGACAAUUGAUGAUUUGGAAGAUAAGCUGAAACGCACCAAAGAGGAGCACCUCUGUACACAAAGGAUGCUGGACCAGACUCUGCUUAACCUGAAUGAGAUGUAGAGCACCCCAGUCCUGCCCUGCCGCUGCUCCUCCCGCCUCUGAUCCCGACUCCACUGAGGCCAGCCUGCCCGAAGCUGGCCUUGAAACUGAGGACUGAUCUUUAACUGGAAGGCUGCUUUCUCCUUUUGCUGCCUCUCCCACCCCAACCCCUGUGUCUUUUUCGCCAAAUUGUCUCUGCCUCUCCCUAGAGAUUCCAGUCGGGCUUGAGGCUGAGCACCUUUGGGAACAAUGUUUAAGGGAAUGUGAGCACAAUGCAAAGUGUCUUUAAAAGCAUGUUGUGAUGUACACAUUUUGUAAUUACCUUUUCUUGUUAUUGUUGAUGUAGCAACCAUUUGUAAAACAUUCCAAAUAAUUCCACAGUUCUGAAGCAGCAGUCUGUUCCCUUCUUCACAUUUGGGAAGUAACUUUUCAGUUUAGUGCAUACUGCCCUCUCCACAGAGGAGGCAGGGGCCUGCCCUACUGAGAGCCAGAGCCCGGAAAGAGACCCCCUCUGGGAAGCUUCAUUGCUUUGUCCAAAGUACCAGCCAGAUUAGAAAGGUGAUUCCAGGAGGAGUGGCCAAAAAAGUGUGGCUCAGGGUUUCAGCUUUAAGGUAUCUUUGAGCAACUUACAUUUUUUAAUUUUUUUUUCCAUCAGAAGUGACCAAACAGAUUAAGAUGGUGAGACCUCUAUCUGAGACCAAAUCCUUAUCCUAUCUUUACCCUAACUGCCCAUAGAAUGGAUCAUGUUCCCCUUAUGUUGAGGUGACUGCUUAUUUUCUCUCCUGCCUCCUUGAA